GACGAUCAGUAGCUGGUUUGAGAGGAUGAUCAGCCACACUGGGACUGAGACACGGNCCAGACUCCUACGGGAGGCAGCAGUGGGGAAUCUUAGACAAUGGGGGAAACCCUGAUCUAGCCAUGCCGCGUGAGCGAUGAAGGCCUUAGGGUUGUAAAGCUCUUUCGCUGGGGAAGAUAAUGACGGUACCCAGUAAAGAAGCCCCGGCUAACUCCGUGCCAGCAGCCGCGGUAAUACGGAGGGGGCUAGCGUUGUUCGGAAUUACUGGGCGUAAAGCGCGCGUAGGCGGACCGGAAAGUUGGGGGUGACAUCCCGGGGCUCAACCCCGGAACUGCCUCCAAAACUAUCGGUCUAGAGUUCGAGAGAGGUGAGUGGAAUUCCGAGUGUAGAGGUGAAAUUCGUAGAUAUUCGGAGGAACACCAGUGGCGAAGGCGGCUCACUGGGCCCGAUACCGACGCUGAAGGUGCGAAAAGGGUGGGGAGCAAACAGGAUUAGAUACCCCGGUAGGGCACGCCCGUAACCGAUGAAUGCCAGACCGCGGGGCAGCAUGCUGUUCGGUGUCACACCUAACGGAUUAAGCAUUCCGCCUGGGGAGUACGCCGGCAAGGGUAAAACUCAGAGGGAAUUGACGGGGGCCCGCACAAACGGUGGAGCAUGUGGUUUAAUUCGAAGCAACGCGCAGAACCUUACCAACCCGUGACAUCCCGGUCGCGGUUUCCCGAGAGGGGAUUCCCUUCAGUUCGGCUGGACCGGUGACAGGUGCUGCAUGGCUGUCGUCAGCUCAUGUCGUGAGAUGUUCGGUUAAGUCCGGCAACGAGCGCAACCCACGUCUUUAGUUGCCAGCAUUUGGUUGGGCACUCUAAAGAAACUGCCGAUGAUAAGUCGGAGGAAGGUGUGGAUGACGUCAAGUCCUCAUGGGCCUUACGGGUUGGGCUACACACGUGCUACAAUGGUGGUGACAGUGGGUUAAUCCCCAAAAGCCAUCUCAGUUCGGAUUGUCCUCUGCAACUCGAGGGCAUGAAGUCGGAAUCGCUAGUAAUCGCGUAACAGCAUGACGCGGUGAAUACGUUCCCGGGCCUUGUACACACCGCCCGUCACACCAUGGGAGUUGGUUUACCCGAAGACGUGCGCCAACCUGUUCGC
rnacentral:rRNA from 1 species